rnacentral:tRNA from 1 species
AGGCGAUUCGCCCGAUUCAGUGGCACCGCGCUUCCUUCACACGGAAGAGGUCAUCGGUUCGAGUCCGGUAUCGCCCACCC